rnacentral:rRNA from 1 species
CAACAGGUAAGCCUGCAGUCGACGAUUCCUACGGGAGGCAGCAGUGGGGAAUUUUCCGCAAUGGGCGAAAGCCUGACGGAGCAAUACCGCGUGAGGGAUGACGGCCUAUGGGUUGUAAACCUCUUUUCUCAGGGAGGAAUUCAAUGACGUUACCUGAGGAAUAAGCAUCGGCUAACUCCGUGCCAGCAGCCGCGGUAAGACGGAGGAUGCAAGUGUUAUCCGGAAUCACUGGGCGUAAAGCGUCUGUAGGUGGCUUAACAAGUCAACUGUUAAAUCUUGAAGCUCAACUUCGAAAUCGCAGUCGAAACUGUUAGGCUAGAGUAUAGUAGGGGUAAAGGGAAUUUCCAGUGGAGCGGUGAAAUGCGUAGAGAUUGGAAAGAACACCGAUGGCGAAGGCACUUUACUGGGCUAUUACUGACACUCAGAGACGAAAGCUAGGGUAGCAAAUGGGAUUAGAUACCCCAGUAGUCCUAGCCGUAAACAAUGGAUACUAGAUGUCGGGCAGAUCGACCUGUUCAGUAUUAAAGCUAACGCGUUAAGUAUCCCGCCUGGGAAGUAUGCGCGCAAGCGUGAAACUCAAAUGAAUUGACGG